AAUGUUAAUAUAAUUUGAAGAGACGGAGUAUUACGGCAAGGAUAUUUUUGAAAGAAAAUAUGUAUUUAGAAGGAUAAUUAUGCUAUAACAAAAUUUAUAGGAAUAUUUAUAAUAUUUUUGAAAUUUAGAGGGGUACGGAUGAAAUUAACCUUUUAAACAAAGAAUGAACAAAUUAAGGAUAAAAUGAUAAUUUUGUAUUUUGAAAUAAAAUAAAAAAAAUGCUAAGUUGAGGGAAGUUAGCAAAAAUUAACCAUAAGGAUAUUUAUGAAAAGAAAUAUUGUAUUUAGAGGGAUAUUUAUGAAAUUUUAAAGAUUCAAAGUAUAUUUAUAAUAUUUUAUAAUUUUGUGAGGUUA
rnacentral:lncRNA from 1 species